GUCUUCAGCCCAAACGUGUCUUUCCUAUAAAACUUCCAAAGGGAGAUAAGGGAAAGUGCUUGGGUACUGGAACCUAUGGUGAGGGUCUGUAGGCAAAGCACUAAUCUGCAUAUUCGAUUUGGUCCAUGAGUUUCUUUGAUGAAGGCCCUUCCUGACCAUUGGUGACCACUGAGAGUACACUGGAUGUGCCGGAGGUGACAUUUUCAAAUCCCAUUUCACUUGAAAUGUCCCUGAACCGUGUCAACAUCAGCUGGGAUGAGCGUGUUUGGUCGCGGCGUGUGUACGGACCUUGUGA